UGCGCAGGCGGCCCGAUAAGUCAGGGGUGAAAUAUGACGGCUCAACCGUCAAACUGCCCCUGAAACUGUCAGGCUUGAGUUCGAGAGAGGUAGGUGGAAUUCCAGGUGUAGCGGUGAAAUGCGUAAAUAUCUGGAGGAACACCGGUGGCGAAGGCGGCCUACUGGCUCGAUACUGACGCUCAGGCACGAAAGCAUGGGGAGCGAACAGGAUUAGAUACCCUGGUAGUCC
rnacentral:rRNA from 1 species